rnacentral:rRNA from 1 species
UACGUAGGGCGCAAGCGUUUGUCCGGAAUUAUUGGGCGUAAAGAGCUCGUAGGCGGCUUGUCACGCCGACUGUGAAAACCCGGGGCUCAACUCCGGGCCUGCAGUCGAUACGGGCUGGCUUGAGUGCGGUAGGGGAGACUGGAAUUCCUGGUGUAGCGGUGAAAUGCGCAGAUAUCAGGAGGAACACCGGUGGCGAAGGCGGGUCUCUGGGCCGAUACUGACGCUGAGGAGCGAAAGCGUGGGGAGCGAACAGG